rnacentral:rRNA from 1 species
UACGAAGGGGGCUAGCGUUGUUCGGAAUCACUGGGCGUAAAGCGCACGUAGGCGGAUUGUUAAGUCAGAGGUGAAAUGCCAGGGCUCAACCUUGGAACUGCCUUUGAUACUGGCAAUCUCGAGUCCGGGAGAGGUGAGUGGAACUGCGAGUGUAGAGGUGAAAUUCGUAGAUAUUCGCAAGAACACCAGUGGCGAAGGCGGCUCACUGGCCCGGUACUGACGCUGAGGUGCGAAAGCGUGGGGAGCAAACAGG